ensembl:lncRNA LRRC77P leucine rich repeat containing 77, pseudogene
GUUGUUUAUGUAAGAAUUUCAAGGCCACAACUCCAUAUUUGAAGUAAAGUGCUCAUAAAAUUAAUUGCAAGUAAAUCCUGUGGAAGGAAAGAAGAAAGGAGGAAAGAGGAUUGGAUGGAAGAAUCUCCACUUCUCAUAGGUGUAGUCCUUCCUUAGCCUGCUUUUUAAUGAGUGCUGCUAAAGCCCUUAGCCUGCCUGUUUACCCUUGGAGUGAAUCCGUGGAAGACCCCCAAAAGAGGCUGCAGAUUCUUAGUGGACAGCUCUCAUAUCCCCUCCAGGGAAAAUGAUGAAAAAUGUCUUCAGAAAAAUAGCUUUAUGAAGGCAAGAGGACUUUUUGCACCUGCAAGACAUGUCUGAAAGCUCCUCAGGUCAAAACACAAGUAGUCAAGAGAUUUGUCCAUCUAAUUCAUCAUACUACUCUGAUCCAAGUGAGACCCACACUGGGUCAGCUCCAUCAAGGAGAAGAACAUUCCACCCACGUUUGGAUUCUGGAAUAUCAUCCUUGCUUCCAUCAGAUUCUUGUAAGUACCUCACUUGGCACAAGGUAGACAUGACGUUCAAGGAAGUCAACUGCGUUGCCCAAGAGUAAGAGAAGGAAUCUCUGAAGAAGAGCAACUUUUCAGACAGGUAGAGUGUGCCUUGCUCCCAAGGAAAAGAGUUCUUGAAAAAAACAAAUGGGAAACAUGGCUACAAGAAAACUGGGAAGACUGCAAGAAAAUCUCAGAAUCUGCUUGAGAAUCCGGUCCUUCUUCCUCCAUACACCCAUGGAACACUCCCAAACUCUGUAUGCUGCUCACUAAUUCUGAUUAAGGUCUUCACCCUCCCUACCUUGGAAAUUGCUACAACAUAAUUGUGUUUAAUUUGAACAUUUCAUUUCAGGGUUUGGGGGAUCCUUACCAAGUUGAAAAUUUUAACAGAAUUCUUAGAAGACUAAUUCGAGUUGAAACCCUCUGGUUAGUGGAUAAUUCACUGGUGGACUUAAGUGCCAUAAGAUUGCCAAGUUACCAAGGAUACCUCAGAUACAGCAUUUAUCCUUGGCCGAAAACCACAUUGAGACUCUUACUGGAUUCUCCAGUUUACGGUGCACUCCACUGGAAUCCCUUAUUCUCAAGAGGAACCCUUAGUAUUCUCCUGUUUGCCAAACUUAAAAAUGCUGGAUGGAAUCUUGAAGCUACCAGAAGAUUGCUUAUCACCAGAAACCAAUAUUUUUUCAAAAAUAUGCCUUGUAUCCUAAUGCAGUCUGUAUAGAAAGAAAGCAAUCAUCAUUGUUGCUAAAAGCUAAUAAACACAGGACAUGCAUGAUUAAA